rnacentral:tRNA from 1 species
ACUUAAAUAGCUUAUAUAAAGAGUUUAAUAUUGAAGAUAUUAGGGAAGUUAGAGACUUUUAAGUA